AUGACUGCUAAUACCGGAUGUGCCUUUGGGUGAAAGAUUAAUUGCCUGAAGAAGAGCUCGCGUCAGAUUAGCUAGUAGGUGGUGUAAAGGACUACCUAGGCGACGAUCUGUAGCUGGUCUGAGAGGACGAUCAGCCACACUGGAACUGAGACACGGUCCAGACUCCUACGGGAGGCAGCAGUGGGGAAUUUUCCGCAAUGGGCGAAAGCCUGACGGAGCAAUACCGCGUGAGGGACGAAGGCUCUUGGGUCGUAAACCUCUUUUCUCAAGGAAGAUAAUGACGGUACUUGAGGAAUAAGCAUCGGCUAACUCUGUGCCAGCAGCCGCGGUAAUACAGAGGAUGCAAGCGUUAUCCGGAAUGAUUGGGCGUAAAGCGUCCGCAGGUGGUUUUGUAAGUCUGCUGUUAAAGCGUGUGGCUCAACCACAUAAGGGCAGUGGAAACUAUGAGACUAGAGUAUGUUAGGGGUAGAGGGAAUUCCCAGUGUAGCGGUGAAAUGCGUAGAGAUUGGGAAGAACACCGGUGGCGAAAGCGCUCUGCUAGGAC
rnacentral:rRNA from 1 species